AUGUGGUUAAUUCGACGAUACGCGAGAACUACCCGGUUUGACAUUGUAUCGAAGCAUCCAGAGAUGGAUGUGUCUCUUCGGAGACGGUAUGACAGGUGCUGCAUGGCUGACGUCAGCUCGUGCCGUGAGGUGUUGGGUUAAGUCCCGCAACGAGCGCAACCCCUAUCUUUAGUUGCCAUCAGUUCGGCUGGGCACUCUAUGGAGACUGCCACCUAAAGUGGAGGAAGGUGGGGAUGACGUCAAGUCAGCAUGGCCCUUACGUCCGGGGCUACACACGUGCUACAAUGGCCGGUACAAAGGGUUGCGAAGCCGUGAGGUGGAGCGAAUCUCAAAAAGCCGGCCUCAGUUCGGAUUGGAGGCUGCAACUCGCCUCCAUGAAGUCGGAAUCGCUAGUAACCGCAGAUCAGCUACGUUGCGGUGAAUACGUUCCCGGGCCUU
rnacentral:rRNA from 1 species